rnacentral:rRNA from 1 species
UACGUAGGGUGCAAGCGUUAAUCGGAAUUACUGGGCGUAAAGCGUGCGCAGGCGGUUAUUUAAGGCAGGUGUGAAAUCCCCGGGCUUAACCUGGGAACUGCAUUUGUGACUGCAUAGCUAGAGUACGGUAGAGGGGGAUGGAAUUCCGCGUGUAGCAGUGAAAUGCGUAGAUAUGCGGAGGAACACCGAUGGCGUAGGCAGCCCCCUGGGUCAAGACUGACGCUCAUGCACGAAAGCGUGGGGAGCAAACAGG